AGGCAAAGCAAAGAAAGUUGAGGAAGAAAAGAAUGGCGGAUUGGGGCCCAGUUUUCGUGGCUGUGGUUCUGUUCCUUCUUCUAUCACCAGGUCUUCUCUUUCAGGUCCCUGCCCACCAUCAAUUCCUUCAGUUCGGUAACUUCCAAACCAGCGGCGCCUCCAUUUUCAUCCAUUCCCUCAUCUUCUUUGCCCUAAUUUCCCUCUUCACCUUCGUCAUUCAACUUCACAUCUACAUCUGAUCUGAUUAAUUUCCCCUAAUCCCUAAUCCCUAAUCCCAAUCGCACCCAGUUUCCUCAUCCAUUUCCAAUUUCCAGGUACAUACACACUCUGUUUCUUCCAAUUCUACAUUCUGCUUCUCUGUUUCCGCCUCCUCUGUCUCUGUAAUCUCCGGAUCCAUCUUCGUUUCUA
rnacentral:misc_RNA from 1 species